GGAUGAGCCCGCGGCCUAUCAGCUUGUUGGUGGGGUAAUGGCCUACCAAGGCGGCGACGGGUAGCCGGCCUGAGAGGGUGUACGGCCACAUUGGGACUGAGAUACGGCCCAGACUCCUACGGGAGGCAGCAGUGGGGAAUAUUGCACAAUGGGCGCAAGCCUGAUGCAGCGACGCCGCGUGGGGGAUGAAGGCCUUCGGGUUGUAAACUCCUUUCGCUAGGGACGAAGCUUUGUUGUGACGGUACCUAGAUAAGAAGCACCGGCUAACUACGUGCCAGCAGCCGCGGUAAUACGUAGGGUGCGAGCGUUGUCCGGAAUUACUGGGCGUAAAGGGCUCGUAGGUGGUUUGUCGCGUCGUCUGUGAAAUUCUGGGGCUUAACUCCGGGCGUGCAGGCGAUACGGGCAUAACUUGAGUGCUGUAGGGGUAACUGGAAUUCCUGGUGUAGCGGUGAACAUGCGCAGAUUCA
rnacentral:rRNA from 1 species